ACGGGUGAGUAACGCGUGGGAACGUACCUUUUGGUUCGGAACAACACAGGGAAACUUGUGCUAAUACCGGAUAAGCCCUUACGGGGAAAGAUUUAUCGCCGAAAGAUCGGCCCGCGUCUGAUUAGCUAGUUGGUGAGGUAAUGGCUCACCAAGGCGACGAUCAGUAGCUGGUCUGAGAGGAUGAUCAGCCACAUUGGGACUGAGACACGGCCCAAACUCCUACGGGAGGCAGCAGUGGGGAAUAUUGGACAAUGGGCGCAAGCCUGAUCCAGCCAUGCCGCGUGAGUGAUGAAGGCCCUAGGGUUGUAAAGCUCUUUUGUGCGGGAAGAUAAUGACGGUACCGCAAGAAUAAGCCCCGGCUAACUUCGUGCCAGCAGCCGCGG
rnacentral:rRNA from 1 species